rnacentral:rRNA from 1 species
GAGCAANCAGGAUUAGAUACCCUGGUAGUNCACGCCGUAAACGAUGAGUGCUAGGUGUUAGACCCUUUCCGGGGUUUAGUGCCGCAGCUAACGCAUUAAGCACUCCGCCUGGGGAGUACGACCGCAAGGUUGAAACUCAAAGGAAUUGACGGGGGCCCGCACAGGCGGUGGAGCAUGUGGUUUAAUUCGAAGCAACGCGAAGAACCUUACCAGGUCUUGACAUCCCUCUGACCGCUCUAGAGAUAGAGUUUUCCUUCGGGACAGAGGUGACAGGUGGUGCAUGGUUGUCGUCAGCUCGUGUCGUGAGAUGUUGGGUUAAGUCCCGCAACGAGCGCAACCCCUAUUGUUAGUUGCCAUCAUUCAGUUGGGCACUCUAGCGAGACUGCCGGUAAUAAACCGGAGGAAGGUGGGGAUGACGUCAAAUCAUCAUGCCCCUUAUGACCUGGGCUACACACGUGCUACAAUGGUUGGUACAACGAGUCGCAAGCCGGUGACGGCAAGCUAAUCUCUUAAAGCCAGUCUCAGUUCGGAUUGUAGGCUGCAACUCGCCUACAUGAAGUCGGAAUCGCUAGUAAUCGCGGAUCAGCACGCCGCGGUGAAUACGUUCCCGGGCCUUGUACACACCGCCCGUCACACCACGAGAGUUUGUAACACCCGAAGUCGGUGAGGUAACCUUUUAGGAGCCAGCCGC